AUUUAUCUGACAACAUGCAUUCCUUCCAAGUUUUCCUUACACUUAUCAUGUACUUAUCCUUACAAUAAGCCAGCAAGUAAUUGGCUAUUUUGCCAGAAUCACGCAAACCUUGAUGGCUUGUGAUCUGAAUCUGUUGGAGGUUUUCUGUGUGUGUCAACAUUAGUGACUUCAGGGUGCUCACCCUAGCAUGAUGGCUCCUAAUGGAGUUUUCCUGAAACCUGUCCAUAACCUAUGGCCAGGAGGUCCUUGAAAGACCAUGUGAUUGUGGCUAAGGUGUUUUCAGUUCCCAGCCUGACUGAACCAGAAAUGAAAGAUCAGGAGAUUGGGUCAAAAGUGGCCUAAAGUCAUUAAAAGAAGUUUAUACAAACUCAUCCCUAUUGAAUGGGUACCAAGGGAGAAUUAUCAAUGGGAAUCAAGUUUAUCACUAAAGUUGAAUCCAAAAUCUUUAAAAUGAUUUGAAGUACAUUGUGGUAGUUCAUUUUAUGUGUCAACCUGUUUGGGCUACUCUGCCCAAAUAUUUGAUCACACAUUAUUCUACAUGUUUCAGUGAAAGUGGUUAUUUUUGGGGGGUUGGGUGAGAUUGACAUUUAAACAGGUGGGCUUUGAGAAAAGCAGUAUCCUUCAUAAUGGGAGUGGACCUGACCUCCCUCAUUAAGUGAAGGACUUGAAAGUCUAAAAGAAUAAGACUUACACCCCACCCCCUUCAGCAGGAAGGAAUUCUGCUAGCAGGUGGUCAAUUCUAACUGCAGCUCUUCCCAAGUCUCCAGCAGGCUCAUCUCCCCCAUCAGAUUGUGAAUGUGAACUGACCAAGCCUCCACCAUCUGGGCCAUAAUCAGUUCAAGGUCCUUCUGUACUUCAACAUAGAUACCGCUGUCGGGAAGCUGAAAAGAAAACAUGUUCAACAAGCACAAAAUGGAGUCAGAUUGCAGAAUCACAUCAGUUACGCAUCAGUUAUACUUCCUCAAGUCAAGGUUUAAACACACACCCAGUACUCCUGAAGGACAAAUUGGCAGAAAAAAUGGCACCAUAGCUUUUGCCACGAUGGGAGGCAACGUCACCAGCUAUGGCAGUAUAAGAAGAAGGCACCCUUAACUUUAAACAUCAGCAGCUUGGCAUCAGCAUCACCAGCAGGAGGGGUAUAGACUGGGAGAGGUGCCCAUGAGAGCUACGGAGGGGUUCUCUUUGGUGGGCACCAGCUGUGCUCUUCCCUUGGGACAGAUCCACCAUUUUAGGCUGAGAGAGCAACAAGAAACAUCAUUUUCGGACACAUGGCUGCAGGUAACAGAAACUUCGCCUGAGCUAACUUACACAGAGAGUUUAUUGAAAGGAGAUUAAGAAAUCUCAUGGACUUCCAGGGCAGGGACACAGCUGGCUGGGCAUGAGAACUGAAGCUGGGUGUGUAGUAUUUGGUGGAUCCAGAAGUCCUCAUUCCUCUUUGCUCAUCUCUGGGAGUCUACUCCCCUCCUCCUGCUCUUGGUCUCUGUGUGGAGUUCUCCAUUUUCCCAGCCUCCAAGCCAGAAAAUGUUUGCUUGACAGCUCCCAGGUUUGCAUGCUUCACCUAGACACUCAGACAGGCUGCUCCCUCUUUCUCACUCCUUGGCUCUAUUCCAGUUCUGAAAGUUCUUCAGAUGAUACUGUGUGGAUUGCUUUGGGCUUGCUGCCAGCCCCAUCAAUUGCUGGGGAAUAGGAUGUUCUUUUGGGAAUACUGAAGCCCACUGCAGUCAUAUAGAGAAAAACAGGAAGGUCCCUCCUACACAAGGUGCUCUGGUUGGAAAAUCAGUAAGUACACCCCAACAGCACCCUGCCAAGAAGCUGAUACUGGAAAGAAAGCUGGUGACCCAUGUGCAGUAACCUAGAGAUUGAAUUUACAGAUCAUAAUGUGACAUCUGCUAGCAACGCCCAAAACUACAUGAAAGGAGUUUGAAGCAUUCUAAAGCUGCUAUGAGACUUACAUUCUAAGAGCCUGCGAAAUAUGAAUGUGGACUGAUCCACCUACUUAAUUCUUAUGCACUCAUCAGUGUGCCCAGGAAAUACGUGUCAUAGCAAGAAGCAUCUGUCAGAUUCCACCCACUAUCCUUAACACCAAUUAGAAGCAACUCCUUUCACCCCUCACCUUGAGAGCCUGUGGUAGAGUAGGGUAUAGCAACUGACUACCGCAGUCAGCACACAAUCAGCACACUUUCCUCUAACAUUGGGCUCUUCAGACCAUCUGGUCACAUUUAGGGAACACUUGAGAGGCAGCAUAUCUGGUGCCCCAUAUAUUCAUCAUUAUUUUUUGAAAAAAAAAUAUUAUGAAGUGAUUUUAGAGUUAUAGAAAAAAUGCAACAGAGAGUUCCCAUUUACCCCUCAGCCCAAUUUAACCUCUUAAAUGGCUACAAUAAAACUAUCAAAAUCAGGAAAUUAACACUGGGACAACACUAUCAAUUCAACUACGGACUGUGUCUCAAUUUCAAUGGAUUUUCCACCAAUAACAUUUUUCUCUUCAGAAUCCUGUUCAGGAUUCCACAUUGCAUUUAGUUUUUUCUCCUUAAACUCCAAUCUGUAAAAGCCUCUGCCCUCCUCCUCCAAUUUUGUUUUGGCAAGCUGGCUCUUUUGAAGAGCAGAUAUUUUGCAGACUGAGCCUCAAUUUUGAUUUGUCGGAUCAAACCCAUGAUUUUGCCAAGAAUAUAACUGAGAUGUUGUGCACCGGACAGUGGGGUUCAUGGUGUUCCUAGGUCUUUUGUUGGUGACGUUAACGGGACCUGGUAAAGGCAGUGCCUGUUGGGAUUGUCUUCUACUGUAAAGUCAUUUUUCAGAGAACAUAGUAAUGUUGUGGUCAAUAAAUCGAUUGGGAGUGAUA